rnacentral:rRNA from 1 species
GACGAACGCUGGCGGCGUGCUUAACACAUGUAAGUCGAACGGUGAAGCGAGUGCUUGCACUCGUGGAUCAGUGGCGAACGGGUGGGUAACACGUGAGUAACCUGCCCAUCACUCUGGGAUAAGCACUGGAAACGGUGUCUAAUACUGGAUACGACCAACCCUUGCAUGGGGUGUUGGUGGAAAGAUUUAUCGGUGAUGGAUGGACUCGCGGCCUAUCAGCUUGUUGGCGGGGUAAUGGCCCACCAAGGCGACGACGGGUAGCCGGCCUGAGAGGGUGACCGGCCACACUGGGACUGAGACACGGCCCAGACUCCUACGGGAGGCAGCAGUGGGGAAUAUUGCACAAUGGGCGAAAGCCUGAUGCAGCGACGCCGCGUGAGGGAUGACGGCCUUCGGGUUGUAAACCUCUUUCAGCAGGGAAGAAGCGAAAGUGACGGUACCUGCAGAAGAAGCACCGGCUAACUACGUG